AAACCGUUCGGGGAGAAACGGACAGAGCUCGUGAAUCCGGGUGACGGAAUUCAGAAUCGACGGCGUUCGCGCGUCGUAGGCUCGAUAUUUCCGUCACCAAACAUUUUCGGACGUCGCGACCCGUUUGGUGUCGGUUUGAGGAGACGCGUGAAAGUUUGUUGACGCGUCGGUGCUUCGGUGUCGGCGCGUCGACGAGUACGCGUUCCAAUUUCUAGCCGGCUCGCCAGACGGUACGUAACGGUGAUCGCGGCGGCCUCAGCGUCGCCGCUAGACGCCUGUCUGCGACGAAUCUUCGAGUCUCUUUCCGA
rnacentral:rRNA from 1 species